rnacentral:misc_RNA from 1 species
CGCACAUUGCGCCCUCUGGUAUUCCGGAGGGUAUGCCUGUUCGAGCGUCAUUGCACCACUCAAGCCUCGCUUGGUGUUGGGCGCCGGGGUUCCGCCCCCCGCCUUGAAAUUCGUCGGCAGAUCGGGUCCGAUCCCAGCGUUGCGGUAAUCAAAGUCGCUGGUGGGAGGGCUGGUCUCCGCCGUAAAACUCCAUCUCAGGUUGACCUCGGAUCAGGUAGGGAUACCCGCUGAACUUAA